UACGUAGGGGGCAAGCGUUGUCCGGAAUCAUUGGGCGUAAAGGGCGCGUAGGCGGCUUUAUAAGUCGGGGUGAAAGCCUGUGGCUCAACCACAGAAUUGCCUUCGAUACUGUAGAGCUUGAGACCGGAAGAGGUAAGUGGAACUGCGAGUGUAGAGGUGAAAUUCGUAGAUAUUCGCAAGAACACCAGUGGCGAAGGCGGCUUACUGGACUGGUACUGACGCUGAGGCGCGAAAGCGUGGGGAGCAAACGGG
rnacentral:rRNA from 1 species